rnacentral:rRNA from 1 species
UACAGAGGGGGCAAGCGUUGUUCGGAAUUACUGGGCGUAAAGGGCGCGUAGGCGGCCCUCUAAGUUAGAGGUGAAAGCCCGGGGCUCAACUCCGGAAUUGCCUUUAAGACUGCAUCGCUAGAAUUGUGGAGAGGUAAGUGGAAUUCCGAGUGUAGAGGUGAAAUUCGUAGAUAUUCGGAAGAACACCAGUGGCGAAGGCGACUUACUGGACACAUAUUGACGCUGGGGUGCGAAAGCGUGGGGAGCAAACAGG